ensembl:lncRNA
GCACGAGGAAGAAGAUAUAUCUAAAGAGUUCUUUUAAUGAUUCACAGGAGAAAAGGGCACAUCCAAACACAAUUCCAAAUAAUCGAGCAUUAAACAUCAAACAUUAUCAUUAAACAUCAAUAGCGGACAAAAAGGAACUGAACAGACAGGGUUUUUAAACACAAGGAAAGUAAUGAGGGGAAUGGAAACAGGUGGGGAUUAAUCAAUUAACAAAACGAGGAACGGAACAUGACCAAAUAGGGAUAACAGAAAAGGAACAGAAAGUCCAUGACUGUGACAGUUCGCCCCCUCCCGGAACGGUGCGUCCUCGCACCGAAAGAGAUAGUCCAGCGGAGGGAGGGUGGGGGUUCAGGAGGUGGGCGUGGGGCAGGCAAGGGGCGGGCAAUGGAGAAGGAGCAUGGAGCAUGGUACCAGGGUGGAGUGGAUGGAGGGAGGAGCCAUGGAGGAGCCCGGAGCAGUAGGAGCCAGAUGGAUAUCCAGAGGCCAGCCAGGAUAGCGGCCCAUGGUGGAGUCGACGGUGGGAGGAGCCAUGGUGGAGGAGGGGCCGACAACACCAGGGGGCCGACUGACGGAGACUGAGCCGAUGGUAGAGGAGUCCAAGACGGAGCCGAGCAACCGCAGAGCCAGGGUGACCCCGAGGAUCCGGAGGGCCAAGGCGGAGCAGAAGGCUCAGGCGACCAAGGCGGAGGCGGGGCACCGGAAGACCGCUGCGGAGCCGGAGUGACUGAGGAUGGAGGUGGAGCCGAAGGGAAGGAGGAGCCUGACAGAGCCGGAGGGAUGGAGCGACGAGGCGAAGCCAGAGGAAUGGAGUCCCGAGGCGGCGGAUGGUCGACGACUGACCAAGGUGGAGCCGGAGGGACGAGGGAGCCCGGUGGAGCAGGUGGGAUGCCGAGCCACGGUGGAGACGAGGGAGCUAGGAGCCAAGGCGGAGCCGCCGGGUCGAAGGACCGAGGAGGAGUCCAGGACUCGGAGGCUGGAGGCGGAGGCAGGGAAUCCACACGCCCAGGUGGAGGUGGUGACUGGAAGUCCUGCGGCGAAACUCCGCGCCCAGAUGGCGCGGACUGAGGGUGAGCUGCGGGACUGACUGGCAGCAGCGGGGAUGAGGACGAGGAACUGACAGGUCGAAGAGGAGGCGGGAGAGGGCGGAUGGGAGGGAACACAGAAGGAUCAGGGCUGGACGGAACCAGCGGAAAAACAGGAGAAUCAGGGCUGGGCGGAACCAGCGGAGAAACAGGAGGGUCGAGGCUGGGCGGAACCAGCGGAAGAGGAGCAGAGGAACUGACAGGUCGAAGAGGAGGCGGGAGAGGGAGGAUGGGAGGGAACACAGAAGGAUCAGGGCUGGACAGAACCAGCGAAGGAACAGAAGGAUUUGGAAUAACCUCCCCAAACCAGUCUAUUAGAUCCAUAAGUUCUUCUGUAUACUUCCCAGAAACCACAUGCAGCUCACCCUCAGUCGCAGGAGUGUGGGCGGGGCGCUCCUCCACGCCCUCGAUCUCCACCAAACGUCCCACGACGCACGGGGUUGCCGGCUCACACACCUGGUCAGUCGCGCUCUCGAGUUCCUCCUCCCUGUCGGCGAUAGGCUCGGGCUCUGCGGCUGCGGCGGUCUCUAGCUCCGUGCAGCGGGGUGAUGGCUGGCUGGUCUCUGGGUCGGGAGUGGGGCUGGAGAUCUCCUCCUCAGCG